CUGCAUUCGCUGCCUCCCAUUUAUCAAUACAGCUUCUGCUGUUGUGUGGUAAGGGUGUUUCGAUCUUCGUGCCGGUGUGUAUUUUGUGUCAUAGUGAUUUUCUGACUUUCUACUUCUAUCGUAGGGGGCUUCCGGGUCCGAAAUUUCGUCGCGCGAGCCGCCGCGAGUGAAGUGAGUGCUCUUGUUGUUCUAUAGCGCCUCCGUGUAUGUGAGUGUUCAUAGACAAAGUGUCACUAUGAAGCGCUCUACUGUGCUUCUUUUUCUUCUGCUCUCCGUUUCCAUGGGGAGUUGCGAGGACGACACGAUGGGUCCUAUAUUUAUCAAAGAGCCCCAAAACCGGGUAGACUUCAGCAACACGACGGGAGCGACAGUGGAGUGCUCGGCCCGGGGCAACCCUCCGCCCGAGAUCAUAUGGGUGAGGGCCGACGGCACGGCAGUGGGAGACGUACCCGGUCUCAGACAGGUGUUGGCGAAUGGUAACUUAGUGUUUCCACCAUUCAGAGCAGAAGACUACCGGCAAGAGGUUCAUGCACAAGUGUAUGUCUGUCUCGCACGAAACUCUGUUGGCUCUAUACAUUCUCGCGAUGUCAACGUCCGAGCAGUGGUAAACCAGAAGUAUGAGGCAGAGAUUAUGACAGAGUACGUCAUUCGUGGCAACACAGCAGUUUUGAAGUGCAGCAUUCCCUCGUUUGUGGCAGACUUUGUUCAAGUGGAGUCCUGGCUUUCAGAAGAUGGAAUGGUGUUUCAUGCUCCUACACGAACUGACAGGCAGGAGAUUUAUGAUGGCAAAUAUUUGGUACUACCAUCUGGAGAGUUACACAUCCGAGAUGUCGGACCAGAAGACGGUUACAAGUCGUACCAAUGCCGAACCAAACACCGACUGACAGGAGAGACACGACUUAGUGCGACCAAAGGCAGGCUAGUCAUCACUGAACCUGUCGGAGCAAAAGGCCCAACUUUUACUUCUGACGAUCUUCGUUUCUUCAGAAUAUCCCGAAAAAUCAAGCAAAGUUUCAGUCUCCUGUGUCAAGCCCAGGCGUUCCCUGUCCCCAUGUUUAGGUGGUACAAAUUUAUUGAUGGCACAACACGAAAGCAAGCAGUUCAGAUGGAUGACAGAGUGAAACAAGUGUCAGGGACUCUCAUCAUUAGAGAAGCCAAGGUGGAGGACUCUGGCAAGUACUUAUGUGUUGUAAACAACUCAGUGGGUGGAGAGAGUGUCGAGACUGUACUUACUGUUACUGCACCCUUAUCAGCAACAGUGGAACCAACAACACAGACAGUGGACUUUGGACGGCCGGCCGUACUUACAUGCAACUAUGAGGGCAAUCCAGUAAAGACCAUCUCAUGGCUCAAGGAUGGCAAGACAGUGGCUGGUCACGAGGAGCCUGUGUUGCGGAUAGACUCUGUACGCAAAGAAGACAAGGGCAUGUACCAGUGUGUGAUACGUAACGAGCAGGAGAGCGCACAGGCCAGUGCAGAACUCAAGCUAGGCGGUCGAUUCGAACCUCCACAGAUAAAACAUGCCUUCAACGAAGAGACGAUGCAGCCUGGACCAUCUGUGUUCCUAAAGUGUAUAGCAACUGGAAACCCCUCUCCUGAGAUAACAUGGGAACUGGAUUCCAAGAAACUGUCCAACACUGAGAGGUUGCAGGUAGGACAGUACGUAACAGUGAACGGGGACGUGGUUUCGCACCUAAACAUUUCAUCUGUACACACCAAUGACGGCGGGUUGUACAAAUGUGUGGCCACCAGCAAGGUGGGAUCUGCUGAGCAUGCGGCCAAGCUAAACGUGUACGGACUGCCAUUUGUGCGGCCGAUGGAGAAGAAGGCGAUAGUUGCAGGAGAGACACUGGUUGUUACUUGUCCCGUCGCUGGGUACCCUAUCGAGAGCAUCGUGUGGGAGAGAGAUCAGAGACAGUUGCCGAUCAACAGAAAGCAGAAGGUUUUCCCCAACGGAACUCUGAUCAUAGAGAAUGUUGAGAGACUGAGUGAUCAGGCCACUUACACCUGUGUCGCUCGUAACGCUCAGGGCUACAGUGUCAGAGGCACAUUAGAGGUUCAAGUCAUGGUCCCGCCCCAGUUGACCCCGUUCCCUGUGGUGCCAGUGAUGGUGGGGGAUGCAGCUCAGCUAUCCUGUCUAGCUUCUCGUGGGGAUACUCCCCUGAACUUGUCCUGGUCGUACAUAGCCCCAAGGGGCCAAUCUCCAAAGCCCCCUCCAGGGCUCACUGUAGUCCCAGUCUCUCCUGUCAACAGUCUGCUGCUCAUCUCUAGCAUCUCGGAGAUACAUCGUGGAAUGUACAGAUGUGAUGCCUCAAAUCUUGCAGGCCACGACAGUCACCUCAUGGAGUUGAUCGUCAACGUGCCACCAAGGUGGAUCCUGGAACCCACAGAUAAAGCUUUUGCUCAAGGCAGUGAUGCCAAGGUGGAGUGCAAAGCUGACGGAUUCCCUAAGCCCUCAGUUACAUGGAAAAGGGCUUCAGGGGAUUCUCCUGGUGAUUACAAAGAUCUAAAGCCUAACAAUCCAGAUAUUCGCGUAGAAGACGGAACACUGCUGAUUAAUAAUAUCCAGAAGACGAAUGAAGGAUACUAUUUGUGCGAAGCAGUCAAUGGAAUCGGUUCUGGCCUAUCAGCUGUUAUCAUGAUCAGUGUUCAAGCUCCGCCCCAGUUUGAGAUCAAGUUGCGUAAUCAGACUGCGCGGGUGGGUGAGCCAACAGUACUCCAGUGCGAAGCCAAGGGAGAGAAGCCCAUUGGCAUUUUAUGGAACAUGGACAACAAGCGACUCGAUCCCAAGAGUGACAUCUCCAACAGAUAUACAAUUCGUGAAGAAAUUCUGCCAAAUGGAGUGCUGUCAGAUUUGAGCAUCAAGAGUACUGAACGCACGGAUUCUGCUCUCUUUACAUGUGUGGCAACAAACGCAUUCGGCAGUGAUGACACCAGCAUCAACAUGAUUGUGCAAGAGGUUCCAGAGGCACCUUACGGUUUGAAGGUUCUUGAUAAAUCUGGUCGCUCUGUACAACUGUCAUGGAAUGCUCCUUAUGACGGCAAAUCUCCAAUCAAGAAAUAUUUGAUCCAACAUAAGAUCUCAAAAGGUACGUGGCAGGCAGACCAGGACACUGUGCUGGUACCAGGAUCCAAUACUGUGGCCGGAGUAUUCAAUCUGCGACCUGCCACUACCUACCACCUCAGGAUAGUCGCAGAAAACGAGAUUGGAGAGUCAGACCCCUCAGACACUGUCACCAUCAUCACUGCAGAGGAGGCUCCCAGUGGUCCUCCAACUGGAGUCAAGGUAGAGGCCAUGGACCAGAACACCCUGCGAGUAACAUGGAAGCCACCAGAGAGGGAAGAGUGGAACGGAGAAAUCCAAGGUUACUAUGUCGGCUACAAACUCACCUCCUCAGACAAGCCCUACCUGUUCGAGACUGUAGAAUUCAGCAAGGAGGAAGGCAAGGAACAUCAUCUCCAGAUCGGCAACCUCAAGACCUACACUCAGUACAGCGUGGUGGUGCAAGCCUUUAACAAGUUGGGGGCUGGUCCUAUGUCAGAUGAGGCGAGGCAGUACACUGCUGAAGGUAUACCAGAGCAACCACCACAGGACACUACCUGCACCACCCUGACCUCACAGACUAUCCGAGUGUCAUGGGUAUCCCCACCUCUAACUGCGGCUAAUGGCGUCAUCAAGGGGUACAAGGUUGUCUAUGGACCCAGUGAAACUUGGUAUGACGAAAACACAAAGGACACAAAGAUCACAUCCUCCAGUGAAACAAUACUACAUGGCCUGAAGAAGUACACAAACUACAGCAUGCAGGUUCUGGCUUUCACAUCAGGGGGAGAUGGUGUGAGAAGCACCCCUAUUCACUGCCAGACUGAACAAGAUGUUCCUGAGCCUCCAUCAGCUGUAAAAGCUCUUGUGAUGACUGGUGAGUCCAUCCUCGUCAGCUGGAAACCUCCAACUCAACCCAAUGGUGUUGUUGUCCAGUAUACUGUCUAUGUCAAAGAGGAGAGUGAAGAAGCCAAGGAUGAGGAACCAAAGAGCACUAAAGUACCACCAUUCCAAAUGAGUUACGAAGCUACAGGACUGAAGAAGAAGGCUCGUUAUGAAUUCUGGGUAACUGCAUCAACAAACAUUGGAGAAGGCCAGCCUUCAAAGCCUGUGCAGCUUGCUCCUAGUAACAGAGUUCCUGCCAAGAUUGCCUCAUUCGAUGAUAAGUUCACUGCUACCUACCGAGAAGAUGUCAAGUUGCCUUGUCUUGCAGUUGGAGUUCCUGCACCUGAAGUUAAAUGGAAGGUGAAGGGAACCCUUUUUACAUCAGAAUCAAGUGACAGGAUGCGUCAACUGCCCGAAGGCUCUCUGCUAAUAAAGGCUGUUACUAGAACAGAUGCUGGUGAAUACUCCUGCUCAGUAGAGAACUCUUUUGGCCAGGACUCAGUGACCCAUCAACUUGUUGUGCUUGCACCGCCACAUAUGCCACAAGUGACACUGACAGCAACAACUACCAACUCGAUAACAAUGAAGCUGAAGCCCCAUCCUGGAGACAAUGAACCCAUCCAUGGCUACACUGUGAAGUACAAGCCAGAGUUUGGAGACUGGGAGACAGCUCAGGUGUCGGCCACUGCUCAGAAGUACACACUGGAGAACUUAUGGUGUGGCUCCCGUUACCAGAUAUCCGUCACUGCCUAUAACAGUAUUGGAACAGGCGAUGAAUCAGAUGUACUUAACACCAGAACCAAGGGCUCCAAACCUAUAAUCCCUGAGGCCAGUCGGUUCAUUGAAGUGUCAACCAACUCUAUCACCCUACACCUCAGCGCCUGGUCCGAUGGAGGCUGUCCCAUGCUGUACUUCGUUGUCGAGCACAAGAAAAAGUCACAGGUCGAGUGGAACCAAGUGUCCAACAAUGUGAAGCCCGGAGGCAACUUUGUGGUUCUGGAUCUGGAUCCGGCCAACUGGUACCACCUGAGGGUCACAGCCCAUAACAACGCUGGCUUUGCUGUUGCAGAAUAUGAAUUCGCCACACUCACCAUCACCGGAGGCACUAUUGCUCCACCGAUCCGUGGCGGGAUCCCCACGGUGCACCAGUUCUUCCCCUGGAUUCCCGGCUGGGUAGACUUGAACGUGGUAGUCCCUGUGGGGGCCACUAUAGUAGUGCUGCUCGUCGGCAUCACAGUGAUCUGCGUUGCGUUCGCUCGGCGCUCGCGCGGCCCUGAGCAGACCCGCCUGCGAGGUGACAUAUAUGAUAUUGUCUACAAUCAGUCAAUGGUUGGUGGAAAUACGAUCGAUAAGCGACGCCCUGAUCUGCGUGAUGAAUUAGGCUACAUUGCACCACCUAACCGCAAACUACCCCCUGUACCCGGCUCCAACUACAACACUUGCGACAGGAUCAAGAGAGGUCACAAUGGCUCGUACAGAGGACACACGACCUGGGAUCCUCGCCGUCACAUGUAUGAGGAGUUGCGUGUUCACGGUCCCAGGGGGAGGCUUCCCCCUUGCCCUGGGUCCGAUGAAACCCUCUACCAUCGCGCAGGUAUGGAGGAUGAGAUCUGCCCGUACGCCACAUUCCACCUGCUCGGGUUCCGCGAGGAGAUGGAUCCGUCCAAGGCGGUUCAGUUCCAGACUUUCCCUCACCAGAACGGCCACUCUGGCACUCUCGGGCCUAAUGGCGUGCCGGCAAAUGGUCAUGUGCACCACCGCAGCGGAUCUCAAUCAAUGCCAAGGGCGAAUGGACGAUACUCACGAGUGGGAGGCCCGAACUCGACAUUCUCUCCUGAGUAUGAUGACCCCGCCAACUGUAACCCAGAGGAGGAUCCCUACGGCAGCCAGUACUCUCCUUAUGGGGCUCCUUAUGAUCACUACGGCAGCCGCAACUCUGUCAGCAGGCGCAGCGUAGGUUCGGCCCGCAAUCUGCCCCUGUCUGGGAGCCCUGAACCUCCACCACCACCACCUCGCAACCACGACCCCAACAACUCUGCCAACGAUUCCAAAGAUAGCAAUGAGAUCUCCGAGGCCGAGUGUGACCGAGACCAACUCGUCAACCGCAACUAUGGAGGAAUGCUGAGGGCUCCCAGAUACACAGGGGUUAUAGUUUGACCAGUCAAUGUGAGGGCCAACUCCAAGGACAUGACCACAGAAGAGAUGAGGAAACUGAUUGAGAGAAACGAAGCAAGCCACCAACAACUCCAAAACGGAGGGCUCACAACCUACGAUACUGUGGCAGUGUAACCUCUAGUUUGACAA
rnacentral:misc_RNA from 1 species